rnacentral:lncRNA from 1 species
AUGCCGAGCACGGCCGAGCGCGAGAACACCGGAUCAGUCAACCAUAGCGCCGGCGCUUUGAGUAUGAUUAACAGAAUGAACUUCCAAAGGUCAAUUAAAUGUCAACACGUUUUAAAGAGAUAUUCUUCUUCGGUGUGGUCAGCGGUACCCGCCAGAACCGGCGCCGCUUCAAGCCCGGCACGGGCACAGAUGACAACGAACCGCCCCGAGGCGGAGAGCAGCGGCCGCCCGCUCGGCUCAGCUGUCCUUCAGCUCCGCCCGCCCGAGCGCGGAGGCGCCGCUCGCCCUCCGCCCCGCGCAGCCCAGCCCCGGCAGCGGGAGCGCUCUGAAGGAGCGCUUCCCUACCGAAGAACGCGGAGGGGCUUUGAUCCGCGCGGCGCUGCCCGGAUGUACAUCCCGGCGGGGGAGGCGGGAUUUCCAACCUCCGGCAGAAUUAAUUCCGAGCGCGUUAAUCACGGGUCGGCAGCAAGAACUCCGCGCUGCGAGCCGGCCCCGAGGCACGCAGCGGGGACGGCGCAUCCCCACGCAGGCCCGUCCCAUCGUUAUUCCUCCGAAAUAAUAAUAAAGAAAAGUUUGCGUUUCAGCACGAGCCCGGGGCUUCCAGCCCUGCUGAGGCCCCGCAGCCGCUCGCACAGCCCAGAGCCGGGCGGCCCCGAGGCUGCAGCCCGCAUGACAGCCGCACUCGCCGCGCAAAAUUUCAAGUUUCGGGAAGAAGAAAAAAAAGUAAUAGUAAAAGAAUCAAAGUCGUCCCGCUCCUCGGCACCCCUCCGCGCGGCGCCCCGCUGCCCCCGCCCGCCCGGUCCCGGCCGCACACGCAACCCCACGCUCGCUGCCCGCCGCUCACCUGGGCUGAGACCAACUUUGGCACUCUGGGCAAAACUUGCGGCACGCAGCUCCCCGCUCCCGNNNNNCCGCCCCGCCCCGCCCCACCGGCCUCCUCCGGGCCCCGCCACGGAGGCGGGGAAGGGGCGGAGGAGGCGAGGCGAGGCGCGGCCGGGCAGCGCAUUGUCCUCUCCCGGAGCGUCCUUCCCGGUGGGACCGGCCCAGCUCCUCCUUCACCCGCCAUGUUCUUUGUUCCCCCCGCCGCCGAACCCCCGUCGCUCCCGGGCCGCCCCGGCCGCAGGUGCCCGCCCCCGCCCGGAGCCCGAGCACCGCCUCCCCGCGCCGGAGGGGAUUCCGUCCCGCUCCGCCAAUCGGCUCGGGGGAAAGGGGCAGCCCGGCCAAUGGGGCGCCGGGGAGCGGCGAGAGUCCCGCGGGGAGAGCCAAUGGGACGGGUGGGUCCGCCUUCCCGCCGGUCCGCGGCGCCUGGGGGCAGCGGUGCAGCCCUCGCUUAGCGUGGGCUCGCGGAAUCGUGGCACGGAGGAGCCCAGGCCCCGCAGAGCGUGGUGGCCCCCGUGA